rnacentral:rRNA from 1 species
AGUAGCCGCGGUAAUUCCAGCUCCAAUAGCGUAUAUUAAAGUUGUUGCAGUUAAAAAGCUCGUAGUUGAAUUUCGGGAUCAGUUGGUCGGUCGUGCCUCGGUACGUACUGGUCAAAUUGAUUCCUACCUUCUGACGAACCACGAUGUCAUUAAUUUGGUGUCGCGGGAAAUCAGGACUGUUACUUUGAAAAAAAUUAGAGUGUUUAAAGCAGGCUCGCGCUUGAAUACAUUAGCAUGGAAUAAUGAAAUAGGACGUUUGAUUCUAUUUUGUUGGUUUCUAGGAUCGACGUAAUGAUUAAUAGGGAUAGUUGGGGGCAUUAGUAUUCAAUUGUCAGAGGUGAAAUUCUUGGAUUUAUUGAAGACUAACUACUGCGAAAGCAUUUGCCAAGGAUGUUUUCAUUAAUCAAGAACGAAAGUUAGGGGAUCGAAGACGAUCAGAUACCGUCGUAGUCUUAACCAUAAACUAUGCCGACUAGGGAUCGGAUGAUGUUAAUUUUUAAUGACUCAUUCGGCGCCUUAC